GCAAUAUAUAAUGAUAUAUGCAUGAGAAUUCAACUGUAAAAAUGGAAGAACAAGACUCGGAAGAAGAACAAGGAUCUCCAUGUGGAUAUGAUUCAAAGUGUCAUCCAACAACUCUUCUAUUAGGUCAAUCAUAAUUGAUAAUGGUUCAUGUUCGAAUUUUAUUGAAUUUUUGUAUUUGUCUGAAUCAUGGCGUGAUGGUUAUAAGUAAAUCACAUGUAAUUCAUAUGUGAAUUACAUGUGAUUCACAUGUAAAUCACAUAAGAAUUACAUGUAAAUCACAUGUAAUUCACACAUGAUUCAUAUGUAAAUCACAUGUAUUUCACAUAUGACUUACGUGUGGUUCACAUGUAAAUCACAUGUAAUUCACAUAUGACUUACGUGUGGUUCACAUGUAAAUCACAAGUGAUUCACAUAUGAUUUACAUGUAAUUCAUAUAUGAUUCACUUGUGAUUCAACUGUAAAUCACAUAUGAAUUACAUGUGAUUCAAAUGUAAAUCACUAGUGAAUCACAUAUGAAUUACAUGUGAUUUACAUGUAUAUAAUAUCUAAUUCACAUAUGAAUUACACGUGAUUCACAUGUAAUUCAUAUAUGAUUCACAUAUAAAUUGCAUGUAAUUCACAUAUUAAUCACAUGUAAUUCACAUGUAAAUCACAAGUGAAUCACAUAUCAAUUACAUGUGAUUCACAUGUAAAUCACAAGUGAAUAACAUAUGAAUUACAUGUGAUUCACAUGUAAAUCACUAGUGAAUCACAUAUUGUCACACCCCCAAACCAGAACGGCGGAAACGUUUGGGGGCGGAGGACGUCAUAUUCAGUAUCAUAACAGUUCAUAGAAAGGAAAGUACGCACCACCAUACAUAUAUAUAAAGGUUUUAAAAAUGUUUACAUAAUUGUAUUCGUUACAUGUUCAAAAGAUAAAUACAUAAACAUCUUUCAAAAGAAGUAAUUAAUGCCAGCGCGUUAAUCCCAAAAGUUGAUUUCCAAACCUGCUUAGCGGUUCCCUGAGAAUACAAGUUAUUUCAAAGAGAAAAUGUCAACAAUUAAGUUGGUGAGUUCAUAAGUGGUUUAGAAAAAUUGUAUGCCAUUCCAAAUUGAGUGUAUGUUUUCCAAGAAGAUCCCUUAUUUUCUUAUAAAAGUAUGAAAUACAUGAGAAUAUUUGUAUUGGAUAAUGUAGAUAGUUGAAUCAAGAAAAUCCCUUAUUUUCCUACUAGUUGUUUGUUUGAAUACAGGAAAAUCCCAUAUUUUCCUAAAGUAAUAGUUAGCCUAAUGUCCCAGACUAAAAACUGAAAGCAAAUGACAUGCUUUAGAAGGUUGAGGCAUAGAUAAUAAAACCUAUUAGAAGAUUUCAGUUUGUUAGAUGAAGAAUAGUUUUAAUAGCUACUCAUUCAUCAAUCAGAAGUACUAUAAUAAUUGUAUAUCCGAUGAGUUUUAUAACCAUACUAAACAUAAUAUGCCUGUAGCGACGUUCUUCAGGCGUCGUAGCGUUAUGACAAACUGUCACCCCAAAGGACGGACUGUAGCUAACAGUCAGGGCGCGGGAUCAUGACUUCCCGUAUAGAUCUAUACACAUUUGACACGUUCUCCGAACGGGAGACUCUGGUUAUAGACAGGACUUGUAGCGGUACCUUUUAGCAAAAAGGUAUUAUUUGAAGAUAUACACGUCUCACGGAUUCUCAACUAAGUCUGUAUUAAAGUAGUAGUUUUGUAUGCAAAGUUUAUCCUUUUUCACAAUGUUUGACAAAGCAUAAAUCAUAAGUUCUUUGAAUGCAUAAAAUGAUUUAGUAAAGAAUGUUACCCUUGAUAUGAUGUAUUUGUAUGUAAACGUAUAAAUAAAACAUUAUUUCUAUUUAUAAAACAUAUUGUAUCCCAAGAGGGUAAAGCUGUGUUGUGAGGUGUUUUGCAUGAUGAUGACUUCAUAAGAUAGUUAAAACAACAGUAUGAAAAGUAUAGCAAAAGAUCGAUGUUUCACACGAUUUUAGUCGUGUGUUUACUUGUAUUCCCCCCUUAAAAGUGUUUAAAAAGCAUUUAAAAAGCAUUUAAAGUGUGGUUGUAGGGGUAUGAACUCACCUGAAGGUUUGAAGAAAGCGAGAUGGAAACCGGGCAGAAUUUCGUCUCGGGAAAACUGAUUUUCUCGGGAUUCUCAGGAAUCUCGGGAGUGCAAGCGAUCUUCGGGACUUGAGCAAAAUGACCAGGGCUUCGGGUUAGCACGGGCACGGAAAACGAGGCGAGAAUGCAAAAGAAAUGAGAGAAAUGGAGCCCUUUCUUCGGAACCCUCGCAUCCCUUUUAUAGGGGCUGGGAACCGCCUCGGUACGCGGGGCGUACGCGUACGUCAUGCAUGACCGAGUCCUCGACUGCCUCGGAUUUCGGAUGGGACAAGGGGUAGCUUCGCAUAGGUCGGGACGUGGACGAUCCGAGGCCUAGGCCUUGAGUACGCGGGGCGUACGAGGGUACGCAGGGCGUACUUCGGCCCUAUCUGCUGACUCCCUUCGGAUAAUACCAAAAAUUUAUAAUUAAAUUUAUAUUUAAUUUAAUUAAUAAACUUCUAAAAUUCAUAUCUUCUUCAUACGAAUUCCGUUUUCGAUGGUCUUUAUAUCCACGCGUAGGUGAGACUACGCUCUACAACUUUCGUUUAGAUUCCGUCGGCAAAUUUUGAAAUUUUUUUUAUUAUUUAUUUUUAAAAGGUCGUGUUUAAGGAAUUUCUUUAGAAAUUCAUAACUUCUUUAUCUGACGUCGGUUUUUGCCAGACUUUUUACCGCUGAAUUACCAUUGUCGUGACCUUCGAUUCUCGUUUAGGUCAUUCCGGCCAAAAGUUGCUCGAUCUCCGAUUCGAGUUUUUAGCUGUCUGCUUCUAAGCCGAACUUGGAAAAAUCAUAACUUCGAUAUACGAAGUCGGAUUUGGGCGCUCUUUUUACAUACGAUCACGGUUUAAUGACAUCUAUCAUAGGAGGUAAUUAAAUAGAAACUUUUUGGACAUUUUAUUUUCGAAGUUAAUUUCAUUAUCACAAAAGUGGUUACAAUAAUUGACUUUUUAGGUCAUUACAUAGAGUUGAAAUAUCGGGUUGUCACACAUAUGAAUUACGUCAAUAUGCACACAUGCAUUUUGUGUGAGUGGUCUUUGUUAAUUAUUUAUUUUUUUAAUUUUCUUAUGAAUUUCACAUUUGAAUCUUAAAAGAUACAAUCACAUGUGAAUAUCACAUUAUAUAAUCACAUUUGAAUCUUACAUAAUAUAUUAACAUGUGAAUCUUACAUGAUAUAUACUUGUGCAUUUUUCUGAGUGUUCUUGCAUUAAUCAUUUUUUUUUUAAAUUUUCUUGUAGGUUUUGAAGAAUUUGUUGAAAAUAUUGAAGAGGUGAAAAGUGAUAAAUUGAAGAAAAUAUGGAAAUCUUGAUAUGAAGAAAUGAUAACACUGUGAAUCUUUAUAGUUUUUUAUAUUUUAUUUUGUAUC
rnacentral:lncRNA from 1 species